rnacentral:rRNA from 1 species
CCUACGGGUGGCAGCAGUGAGGAAUAUUGGUCAAUGGGCGUAAGCCUGAACCAGCCAAGUCGCGUGAGGGAUGAAGGUUCUAUGGAUCGUAAACCUCUUUUAUAAGGGAAUAAAGUGUGGGACGUGUCCUAUUUUGUAUGUACCUUAUGAAUAAGGAUCGGCUAACUCCGUGCCAGCAGCCGCGGUAAUACGGAGGAUCCGCGCGUUAUCCGGAUUUAUUGGGUUUAAAGGGUGCGUAGGCGGCCUUUUAAGUCAGCGGUGAAAGUCUGUGGCUCAACCAUAGAAUUGCAGUUGAAACUGGGGGGCUGGAGUGUGUUUGAGGGAGGCGGAAUGGGUGGUGUAGCGGUGAAAUGCUUGGAUAUCACGCAGAACCCCGAUUGCGAAGGCAGCCUGCCAAGCCAUGACUGACGCUGAUGAACGAAAGCGUGGGAUCAAACAGGAUUAGAUACCCGGGUAGUC